rnacentral:sRNA from 1 species
AAGUCUGGGCUACCGGCGCCGCGUAGUGGAUGCAGCAUCCUAGUUGAGGACGCCCCUCUGGAGCCGGUGACCUUCAGGGACGUGGCCAUCUACUUCUCAAGGGAGGAGUGGGCGUGUCUGGAACCCAGCCAGAGGGCCCUCUACCGGGACGUGAUGCUGGACAACUUCAGCAGUGUGGCUGCUCUGGGUGAGGACGGGCUGAGCGCUGUGUGAGCACGGGGAUUUUGCAGCCCCAGACCAGACCUCGUCUCUCGCCUGGAACAGUGGGAAGAGCCGUGGGUUGAAGACCGGGAGAGACCUGAGCUCCAGGCAGUGCAGAGAGGGCCCCAGCCAGAGUGGGAUGGAGCAGCUAUGUGAACACGAGCCCUGGGAGGUCCCUGAGUGCGUGGAGUCCCUGACUGGGGGCAAGGAAGUCUGCAGACCCCAAGAGACACUGUGAUCAUCCAGCUUGGGCUCACAAGAAAACCCACGUGCGGCGAG